UCCCAGGUGGGUCAGCUGGUAAACAAUCUGCCUGCAAUGCAGGAAACCUGGGUUCAAUCCCUGGGUUGGGAA
rfam:Ovis aries breed Texel chromosome 14, whole genome shotgun sequence.